CCGGACGUCUGUCUAAAUGUCAUAACGACUCUCGGCAACGGAUAUCUCGGCUCUCGCAUCGAUGAAGAACGUAGCGAAAUGCGAUACUUGGUGUGAAUUGCAGAAUCCCGUGAACCAUCGAGUCUUUGAACGCAAGUUGCGCCCGAAGCCGUCAGGCCGAGGGCACGUCUGCCUGGGCGUCACGCAUGGUCGCCCCCCCUCCCCGCGCGCCGCGCGG
rnacentral:rRNA from 1 species